rnacentral:rRNA from 1 species
UAGUCCACGCCGUAAACGAUGAUAACUAGCUGUUCGGGUUCACAGAACUUGAGUGGCGCAGCUAACGCAUUAAGUUAUCCGCCUGGGGAGUACGGUCGCAAGAUUAAAACUCAAAGGAAUUGACGGGGGCCUGCACAAGCGGUGGAGCAUGUGGUUUAAUUCGAAGCAACGCGCAGAACCUUACCAGCCUUUGACAUCCUGGUCGCGGAUUAGAGAGAUCUUUUCCUUCAGUUCGGCUGGACCAGUGACAGGUGCUGCAUGGCUGUCGUCAGCCCGUGUCGUGAGAUGUUGGGUUAAGUCCCGCAACGAGCGCAACCCUUGUCUUUAGUUGCCAUCAUUAAGUUGGGCACUUUAAAGAGACUGCCGGUGACAAACCGGAGGAAGGUAAGGAUGACGUCAAGUCAGCAUGCCCCUUAUGCUCUGGGCUACACACGUGCUACAAUGGCCGUGACAAAGAGUUGCUACUUUGUGAAAACAAGCUAAUCUCAUAAACGCGG